AAGGGAGGGAGUUUUUGAAUUUAUUCUUGGCAAAUCAAGAGAAAAAUACCAAGCUGGCCAUCGAGAAUCUAGAGAGAGAUGUUCAGGGCAAUUUUGUAGAUCCUUUUUCUUUCUGGCUGACCCUGCCAGCGGCUUAUCCCUCUCUGGCAUGGAUUUGUUUUCUGCUUUCGUCUAUUGGGUUGCUUCCCCAUUUAGUGAGCGAUUCCAGUUUUCCCCGAUUAGGGCUCUUCAUCCACUCCUCUCUGUGGGUGUCCUAGUAGGCGAUCUGGAAUCUAAUUCUACCAAAGUCACGGUCCUUCUGCUAUUUCUUGACUGGGUAUCCACACCCUGCUCAGGCAUGGAGCUGCUCUGGCUUCUCUCUAAUGGGGUUUUUGAAGAACUUUUCGGCAUGGCUAUGCUAGAGCUACAGGAGACCCUCUCUCAGGUUGUAGGAUGGAUCCUCCCCCUCCUUUUUGUUGUCUCUGUCUGCUUGCCUUUCAGGGGAUUCUGUUUUCCUUUGCAUCCAAAUGAGGCUUCCAACCUCAUGGUAUUUGGUUUUUGUUGCUGCUUCUGUGGAGUCAGUAUCUCUGUCGUGCACAGUUAGCGUUUGUUGUUUGAGAUUUCUAUGCUGGAGCUCACUGCUUGCUUCAGUCUGUAUGGAUGUUUUCUGCUAUGAUACAGCACCGUGUGUUGCUUCCAUAAGCAGCUUUUGUUUGGGUUGUGGUUUGAUUGCUGGAGUCCCGUGGCUCCCACCCUGGUUUGUUAUCUUGUUUUCUCCAGACCUGCAGGCUCUGCAGAUUGCUUGUGAUGUUGCCCUUUUGGGGCUGGUUAUGGUUUCUCGGCUGUAUGUUCUGGAACUGUUUGAUCUGCUGCUGCUUACUGCAGUGUUGGGUGUAGCUGCUAUAUGUAGCUUGGAUUGCACUGCAUUCUCCUUCUUGAAGAUGGCUGGCGUUUCAUGCCAGUGUCUGUUGGAAUGUCCCAAUGGCAGCCAAUUCUCAUGCAUGAUCUGCUGAGUGAAUUGCUAGUCUGGUCAUGGACUCUACAGAUACUGCCCACUGAGCUGCCGUUUUCUGAAAGAUACACUGCAGGGUAUGGUCUGCUGCUAUAGGGCCUCUUGGGUGUUGCUGCUAAAUUCUAGAUGUUACUCGCUGUGCUUCUUGAAGCUGUAGGUUAUGUGUGGUCAUGCACUUUGUGUGGUCCGUUGUUUGUUGCUGGGAUUCUUUUGGCUCUUAUGGUUGGCUGUUGGGCAUGACCUUGAAUCCUCUUGUAGGAGUUGUUGCUGCUAUAUGCUAGUUUUUGUUGUUGGAGCUGUGCUGUGUGCUGGCUCCCUGGUUGUUCUAUGGGUUGGCUUUCAGUAGUAUUCCUUUUGCUGGAUGCUGCUGGUCUGUUGCAAAGGAUCUCUUUGCCUGUUGCGGGGCAUUGUUUGGGGUGUGCUUGGGUGAGGUUCUCUCCCCUUGCCCACAAUCUCUGCCUCUUGUUUUCGUUUUUGGUUCUUCUGCAGGUCUGUUUCGGCUGGCCUCUCUUGUUAGUGGCUAUGGAUCCCAACAGUUUGGGUGAGGUUCUCUCCCCUCAUAUUUGGGUUACAUUCAUGCUGUGGAGUAGAGAUGGUCUGCUGGUGAUUGGCCUCUUGGUUGCUGCUAUAUGCAGGUGGAAAUGUUGGAUUGUUGCUGCCACCCUGAGGUGGAGUUGUUUCCUGUGGUGCCCAGAGGGGCUUUGGUUUAUUGCAACUGUUGAAGCUUCUUUAUCUGCCAGUUGGGCUCAGUCAGGCUACUGCUGUAGCGUGUCGUCAGCUGGGUUGGAAGGUGUUUCAAUGUUGGUUAUUGGGUCUCCUAGCAGAUUUGCCUGCUAGGUUGUUUUUACCUUAUGGUUUUGAUACUCGUUCAAGGGAGCCUGUUCCCUCUUAUUCUAGGUUGAUCAAGGGGAGUUUGUUCCCCUUAGCCUUUCUAUUCAGCAAGCUUGUCUUGCUUAUGGUUUGUACAAGGAAGUCUGUUCCUUUGCUUUUUAUUCAGCAAGUUUGUCUUGCUUUUGUUUUGGUCAAGGGACUUUGUUCCCUUUUCCCUGUA